GUUCCGUAAGUUGGGCGUGAAAGCCCCGGGCUUAACCCGGGGAGGUCGUUCAAUACUGCGGGACUUGAGGGCAGGAGAGGGAGGCGGAAUUCCCGGUGUAGCGGUGAAAUGCGUAGAUCUCGGGAGGAACACCAGUAGUGCGAAGAGCGGGCUCCUAGGACUAGUGUCUGACAGCUUGAAGGCGAAAGCUAGGGGAACGACCGGGAUUAGAAAGCCCGGGUAGUCCUAACCGUACACGAUGGACUCCUGGGUCUGGGGCGUAUAGAUCCCCUCCGUGCCGAAGCUAACGCGUUAAGCAUCCCGCCUGGGGAUUACGGCCGCAAGGCUUAAAGUCAGACGAAUUGACGGGGGCCCGCACAACCAGCGGAGCGUAUGGUUUAAUUCGAUGAUACACGAAGAACCUUACUUGGGCUUGACAUGUAGGUAGUAUUGAAGCGAAAGCGGUACGACCCUCCGGGGAGCAUACACAGGUGAUGCAUGGCUGUCGUCAGUUCGUGCCG
rnacentral:rRNA from 1 species